UACGUAGGUGGCAAGCGUUGUCCGGAUUCACUGGGCAUAAAGGGCGCGUAGGCGGUCCCGUAAGCGGCGUGUGAAAUCCCGGAGCUCAACUCCGGAAUUGCGCGCUGAACUGCGGGGCUCGAGGGCAGGAGGGGAGUGUGGAACUCUAGGUGGAGCGGUGAAAUGCGUAGAUAUCUAGAGGAACGCCGGUGGCGAAAGCGACACUCUGGCCUGCAUCUGACGCUGAGGCGCGAAAGCGUGGGUAGCAAACAGG
rnacentral:misc_RNA from 1 species